rnacentral:tRNA from 1 species
GCGGGUGUGGCGGAAUUGGCAGACGCACCAGACUUAGGAUCUGGCGCCUUUUGGCGUGGGGGUUCAAGUCCCUCCACCCGCA